rnacentral:lncRNA from 1 species
GGUGUGGGUGCGCGUCGUGUCGUUGUUAAUGCUCGUUCUGGAGCAGUGUGCCGCACGGGGUGUCCGACGUGGGGGUGCAUUACGUCAAAUCCGGGGUGUUAUGUCAAAUCAGUUUUUUACCCCUAUCAUAUGCCCCACCCGAAAGGAGCUAUGCGUCGGUUUUGCAGGUAGGGAGUCUGAUGCAUGGCUUUCUACUUCAAGCGGGC